CAGACCUAGCCUGUAGACAGGAGGAUUGGAGAAAAAGUGGGGAAGGGAGGAGGAGGCGGCACUGUUCCAAGCCCUGGGCUGCUGGAAGACUCAAAGUGAACCAGGUGAAGGAGGUGUCUGGUUGGCUUGUGGGAAAAUAAAACAUUAAGCAGGAUCUGGACUGAGAGUUACAGAAAAGAGGACCUAUGAAAAUGCAACACCAUGGCAGCCAGCAGAGUGGAGUUCAGAUGGGCUCCAGGAGGCGGGGCCAGGCAGUAUGAAGAGGACUGCACCGUCCUGGAUCUGUUACUUAGCACUUCUAUGAAUCUUUUCCAGCUGGGACAUAGUUUUUCUUCUGUCUUUCCACAUGGAUUCGAACUAACACCAUCAGCUCGCCUGCUUCUCAGACCUUCAGACUCAGAUGGAACUACACUAUAGGUUCUCCUGGGUCUGGACUUCUCAGCCUCCAUAAUCAUACGGACUGUUGUGCAGACUCAGGCAGCUCACUCGGGGCUGGGCAGCAGACAGUGAUUAUCGUCACCCCCUGCUUUCAUCCAUUACGGCGGGUGUUAGCAGAUGUGGGAUUUGAGACCCAAAGAAGUGAAGUAACCUGCCCAAGUUUACACAGCUUGGAGUAGAACCCGAGUUUCUAUGGACUCCAGAGCUCAUGAGUUCACCACUUUUCUGUGCCUCCUAACUCUAUGCCGCUGAGGACUCAGAAGAAGCCAGUGCUAAUGCUUUCUCCAGUUUCUCUCCUCUUGUGUGAACUGUGUGAACUGCCACUUUAAGACUCUCUUGGAGAAUCAUAAUCCAAGUUGCGAAGUCCAACAAUUCCUCUGGAGAAAUGGUUCUCAACUGGGGGCAAAUUUGGGCCCCAGGAGACAUAUGGCAAUGUCUGACAAUGUUUUUUUGAUUGUUACAAACAGGUUGGGGAGAGAGUCCUGCUAGCAUCUAGUUGGUAGAGGCCAGGGAUAAUGCUGAACAGCCUGCAGGACACCCCGAACCCCAUCAAAGACCCAAAACGUCAAUGGUACUGAGGUUGAAAAACCCUGGUCUGGAGUUUUAAUCAGUUGGCCAUUUUUCCCAUCCCAUGUUGAAAUAUUUGUAUUUAAAACAUUACAUCUGGUUUAUUUUUUCAAGAUAAUGUCCAGUGUACAGUGGAAAAUGAUGUGUUUUCCUAUCACUUUGCUCAAGAAUAAAGCUGUAAUAUUUGCAAAAUAGAUAACCUUAGUUGUCACUCAAAAUGUAAACUGUCAUAAGGGAUAAGAGAUUAACUGAUUUCACUGUCAACCUUUACAGUGUCAUUAUUUUUCCCUGUAACUGUCUGCUUGAUAUCCUUGCUGACGAAGAUGUUUUAAAAUGGAAGACAAUUAGAGGCUUUAUGUUUAUGAAAAAUGAAGUGUUCACACACAAAAGAAUGCACAGUGGACCUUUUAUGGGAUGUUUAAAAUAUCCUUUCAUUAAAAGAUUUUCUUAAGUGGCUGUUUGUCACUUAAUAGGAAUCCCCGUUGUUGCUACUGUUGUUUUCAUGCAUAAAUACCAGCAUCUGUAGGUUUCCGGGGUGUUCUUUAGAAUUU
rnacentral:lncRNA from 10 species